rnacentral:rRNA from 1 species
UACGUAGGGCGCAAGCGUUGUCCGGAAUUAUUGGGCGUAAAGAGCUCGUAGGCGGUUUGUCGCGUCUGCUGUGAAAGCCCGGGGCUCAACCCCGGGUCUGCAGUGGGUACGGGCAGACUAGAGUGCAGUAGGGGGAGACUGGAAUUCUGGUGUAGCGGUGAAAUGCGCAGAUAUCAGGAGGAACACCGAUGGCGAAGGCAGGUCUCUGGGCUGUUACUGACGCUGAGGAGCGAAAGCAUGGGGAGCGAACAGGAUUAGAUACCCCGUAGUCC